AGCGAACGCUGGCGGCAGGCCUAACACAUGCCAGUCGAACGAACCUUUCGGGGUUAGUGGCGGACGGGUGAGUAACACGUGGGAACGUGCCUUUAGGUUCGGAAUAACUCAGGGAAACUUGUGCUAAUACCGAAUGUGCCCUUCGGGGGAAAGAUUUAUCGCCUUUAGAGCGGCCCGCGUCUGAUUAGCUAGUUGGUUGAGGUAAUGGCUCACCAAGGCGACGAUCAGUAGCUGGUCUGAGAGGAUGAUCAGCCACAUUGGGACUGAGACACGGUCCAAACUCCUACGGGAGGCAGCAGUGGGGAAUCUUGCGCAAUGGGCGAAAGCCUGACGCAGCCAUGCCGCGUGAAUGAUGAAGGUCUUAGGAUUGUAAAAUUCUUUCACCGGGGACGAUAAUGACGGUACCCGGAGAAGAAGCCCCGGCUAACUUCGUG
rnacentral:rRNA from 1 species